AUGAAAAAAAAAAUUAGAGACAUCAACCCUACAAUGUUCUUAAAGCGCCAUUUAUACGGAAUGUAAUAGGUACUAAAUUUUUGCUUUUUCAAAACUUUCCUAACUCCAGUGGUGCUCUUGGCAGAGUUGUGUGUGACCCUUGUCUUGUGUUAUUGGAAACCUUGAUGCAGAGACAAUGAAAGCAAAAUUUUCUGUGACAUCCUUAUAACUUCUUAAAAUUUGUUUUGAUUAGGGCCUUAGAAAGACACCUCUAUAUCUAAUACUGUAUUCUCUCGUUAUAACAACACUCAUUAUAACGAAAAUCUCUCUUUUGCGAAGGAAUUGCCCGGUCCCUUGAACGAUUUUCUCGCUAUAACGACACUCAUUAUAACAAAAAUCUCUCUUUCGCGAAGGAAACGCCUGGUCCCUUGCCGAUUCAUUAUAGCAAGAGAGUACCGUACGUACGUUAUGUCUCAGUAGCUCAGCAUAAAUGCACUCAACCCAGGAUAGAGACUCAUUAGUAGCAGGUUCAGUACCACUUAUCUCACCUUCAAAUUAGCUUCAUUAAAUCGAAUUACACUGAAAAACAUGACCUCCGUGCAAGCAGUACAAAAACACUUACCUUAUCAACGACUAUGACAGAAGCUCCAAAA